rnacentral:lncRNA from 1 species
CGAAACUGAUAUUUAAUCAACAUGAAUUAAGUGUGCAAGUCCAGCAUACUGUGUCUGACUAAUUUAUUGGCUAUCUUGCUUCCUGGAAUGUUGAUUACUGAUUCUAACUCCCGAAUUUCCUUUGUCUUUUCAAAAGAGCUAGAAACUCUAGUUGUGGUUUCAAGGGAUUCGAAUCUGAUAUUUUAACAACAGAAUUAAGUCUGCAAGUCCGUCAUCUUGUGUUUGAAUAAUUUAUUGGGUUGUUUCCUUGAAGUUGGUCACCAACCUUGGUCCUAAAUCCACUCUAUAACUAGAACCAAAGUUCAACUUAGUUUGGACUUUUUUCUGCUCAAUUUCGAAAAAAAAAGGAUAUAUCAAUGUCUCCACAGAUCGAAGCCCCUUCUUAUGGUUUUUCUUCUUGCGAGGACGCUCUCUUCGAUUAACAUUGAGGAGACUCUUGUCUCAGGUCCACACUGAGAGUUUUAAGGAGAAUAUUGAGAAUCUCGUCAAAGAGAAGUUAUCCUUUGCCGCAUCUCGUUACUCCAAGUUUGAGAAGGUGUUCGCGGAUUGCUAAAUGGCCUGAUUGAAUAUUGGAUAUCGAAGCUAAUUACGAUGUAUGUUCAACAACAAUUGUCUUUGAAAAGUUCAAGGACUGUUUAGAGGGACAACGCAUCUCCUCGCUUAUUAGGUCGCCUCGUAUGAAUUGCCGUAGAAGAGCUUGAUUGAACAUAGGGGAACAGUUUUAAAUUAACCAAGGCAUACCUUGAUGAAGUUAAGGGGGGAUUCCGAUCCAAGACCGCCAAAAAACUUCUAAAUCCGCCAUGUACCAAGCCUAACAAAUCCUUGAAAAUGCUCAAACGCCGGGAGUUAACCCCGUUGAUUUUUUACAGAUAACUUAUAUAAAUGAAAUACUUCCUUUGAGAGCAGUGGCGGAUUGGAAGGCUCUUAUUCUUGCAAAAGAAGAGGAGCACGAAAGAAAAAGGGUACAAGAAGAAUCUGACACUGCUUAAACCCGGGAGAAAAAGACUUUUCUGUUUGGCUGGAAGCUUAUGCCAUUCGGCAUAAAAACCACCCUGAAAAGGAAGAAGUAAAAUCCGUGUUUUGUGUUUCAGAAUCCAGAGGAGGAUUCAUUUUUCAUAGGGAUAGUGACUCCACCGAGACUUGUGCAAAAAAUUAGUGCUUUCUCCAUCGGAAUGGAUGAGAGCUUGCAUUAAUCUUAAGAAAUGCACCUUCUGUUUGGUUACGUUCAAUGAGGAAUAUAGAAAGGAGUACUUGGAUUCGUUUCCUUUGUGUAGGUAUCCUUACAAUGCCGUUGUAUGGGACAAAAAUCCUAAUAGGAAAACAACGAAUCUCAAAGUAAUUCUUCAGAAAAGGAGGUUAGAGAGAGGUAGCAGAUACAAUAGCAGAGCUAAACGUCCUACUGUGACCGAUGUACUUCAGGAGCUUCUUAAAUCAAGGCAAGAUACUAAUAAUUACCUAAAAAGUUUUACUACAUCUCAAAAGGGAAAAUAUCCUUAAAAAGAUGAAGAAAAUUACAAAAAUAUUAAUCGUAGAAAUAUAAAUUAAAUAAAAGACUCUUUAUUUUUUGUUCCCUUCUGGAAUUUGCUUGUUCCCUUCUGUGGAAUCCAAACGGAUUAAACGGAUAUUACGAUCCAAAAACAACUAUUUUUCAUAAAUAUGAGAUAUCGCUAUUGAGAUACCUUUGUUUCAAUUGUACCUAGAUGGGUACAUCAUUUGGUUAUACAAUCUUGUAUCCGAACCGAUUCACCUAUCUUCAGUACGGAUAACUUCUUCACAUCUUCUUUUUUUAAGUUGGAUUUGGAACCUUACAAAGUUCUAGGCUUCUCUUUUGAUGGAAUUCAGGUUCUGGUUUAAUGACUGCGCCAUAUGAUAUACGUGGAUAUGAGGAUAUGGAAUUAUUAUAUAUACGUAAUUGUAGAUUAGGAGAACCCAGAAGGAAUCUGAUAUUACUAUAUUAUUAAAAAAAAAAAUACACCCGAAACAUUUAUACAUAGGGCACUAAACCUAUAGUAUGGAUAAUAUGUUAAGAAUUAUUAAUAAUAAUUUUAACAACGAACUUCUGGAAAAUCUUACGUCAAACUCUGUUACUGGGGAAUUUCCAAUAGUAAUUUUAAUAUUCGAAAAUGUGCAAAUGUAUCUAAAAAGUGUCAUCUUCUUCUGAAUAAGAGAGAUGAAAUUAAUAUUAAAAACAUAAAUGCUUUGAGGAAAAUAGAUUAUAAUAAAAACUUCCGUCUUGAAAGAGCUCUACAAGUGAUGUCAGUUAAAUAUAGUAAAAUAUCUGUGAAUAUCCCUAAUUAUAAUGUAUUUUGUGCUACUUUAUGUUGUUGGGUUGUUAAUCCUGUAAAUGGAAAAUCAAGUAAGGUUCGAAUUU